UACGAAGGGGGCUAGCGUUGCUCGGAAUCACUGGGCGUAAAGCGCACGUAGGCGGCUUCUCAAGUCAGGGGUGAAAUCCUGGAGCUCAACUCCAGAACUGCCUUUGAUACUGAGGGGCUCGAGUCCGGGAGAGGUGAGUGGAACUGCGAGUGUAGAGGUGAAAUUCGUAGAUAUUCGCAAGAACACCAGUGGCGAAGGCGGCUCACUGGUCCGGUACUGACGCUGAGGUGCGAAAGCGUGGGGAGCAAACAGGG
rnacentral:rRNA from 1 species